rnacentral:RNase_MRP_RNA from 1 species
AGGUCUCUUGCUUAGGGGAAAGUCUCCGAGCACAACGAAAUGCCUAGAAAGUAGGGCCCCUGAGGGGUGGGCGCUCCCUCCGUUCAAUGGCGAAGAUGGUUCUCGAACCUAGCCGGACGGGGAUGCGCUUUUCGCUGUAGCAAAGUUAUGUGGUUUAUGCCUCCUCCUUCGACUUCGAAGUGAGCGAGGAAACUCAAUGGAGCUUAUUCUAG